AUUGAACGCUGGCGGCAGGCCUAACACAUGCAAGUAGAACGAGUGGCGGACGGGUGAGUAAAGUCUGGGCAACUGCCCGAUGGAGGGGGAUAACGAAUGGAAACGGUAGCUAAUAACGCAUACCAUCCGAUGGGCCCAGAUGGGAUUAGCUAGUAGGUGGGGUAAUGGCUCACCUAGGCGACGAUCCCUAGCUGGUCUGAGAGGAUGACCAGCCACACUGGAACUGAGACACGGUCCAGACUCCUACGUGAGGCAGCAGUGGGGAAUAUUGCACAAUGGGCGCAAGCCUGAUGCAGCCAUGCCGCGUGUAUGAAGAAGGCCUUCGGGUUGUAAAGUACUUUCAGCGGGGAGGCGUUACCCGCAGAAGAAGCACCGGCUAACUCCGUGCCAGCAGCCGCGGUAAUUC
rnacentral:rRNA from 1 species